rnacentral:rRNA from 1 species
UACGUAGGGUGCGAGCGUUAAUCGGAAUUACUGGGCGUAAAGCGUGCGUAGGCGGUUUCGCAAGUCCGCUGUGAAAGCCCCGGGCUUAACCUGGGAAUGGCAGUGGAAACUAUGGGACUUGAAUCUGGCAGAGGGGGGUGGAACUCCACGUGUAGCAGUGAAAUGCGUAGAUAUGUGGAAGAACACCGAUGGCGAAAGCAGCUCUCUGGGACGGUACUGACGCUGAGACGCGAAAGCGUGGGGAGCGAACAGG